rnacentral:rRNA from 1 species
AUUGAACGCUGGCGGUGUGCCUAACACAUGCAAGUCGAACGGGAUCCAUGAGAGCUUGCUCUCGGAAGAUCUAGUGGCGAACGGGUGAGUAACACGUGAGAAACCUGCCCUGGAGUGGGGAAUAACUCGGGGAAACCCGAGCUAAUACCGCAUACCCUUGGAUGAUCGCAUGGUCGACCAAGGAAAGAUUUAUCGCUCUAGGAGGGUCUCGCGGCCUAUCAGCUAGUUGGUGGGGUAAUGGCCUACCAAGGCAACGACGGGUAGCUGGUUUGAGAGAACGAUCAGCCACACUGGGACUGAGACACGGCCCAGACUCCUACGGGAGGCAGCAGUGGGGAAUCUUGCGCAAUGGGCGAAAGCCUGACGCAGCAACGCCGCGUGCGGGAUGACGGCCUUCGUGGUUGUAAACCGCUUUCAGCAGGGACGAAAAUAGACGGUACCUGCAGAAGAAGCCCCGGCUAACUACGUGCCAGCAGCCGCGGUAAU